rnacentral:lncRNA from 1 species
AAGUAUUAGUUCUGUUUCCUAUAAAUCGUCAGUCCCAUGAUUUAAUCCUCAUUUCUGUUUGCCUGAUACGCACAUCACACGUCGAGGGCCUUUCGUUCAAAAAUCCUUUCCCCUAAAUCUUCAUCAUGCGUGAAUGUAUCUCUAUCCAUGUCGGCCAAGCCGGAGUCCAGAUGGGCAAUGCCUGCUGGGAGUUGUACUGCCUGGAGCACGGCAUCCAGCCUGAUGGCCAGAUGCCCUCAGACAAGACCAUCGGAGGUGGUGACGACUCCUUCAACACCUUCUUCAGUGAGACUGGAGCUGGCAAGCAUGUUCCCCGGUGCAUCUUUAUGGAUCUCGAGCCAAGUGUAGUUGAUGAAGUCCGUACCGGUACCUACCGUCAACUCUUCCAUCCUGAGCAGCUGAUCACCGGCAAGGAGGAUGCUGCCAACAACUACGCCCGUGGUCACUACACCGUCGGCAAAGGAGUCAUUGAUCAAGUCUUGGAUCGCAUCAGGAAGCUGGCUGACCAGUGCACAGGUCUCCAGGGAUUCCUUCUCUUUCACAGCUUCGGUGGCGGCACCGGCUCUGGCUUUACCUCCCUGCUCAUGGAGCGUCUCUCCGUAGAUUACGGAAAGAAGUCCAAACUUGAGUUCGCCAUCUACCCCGCUCCCCAGAUCUCCACCGCUGUUGUCGAGCCCUACAACUCCAUCCUUACCACUCACACCACCCUCGAGCACUCCGACUGUGCCUUCAUGGUCGACAACGAGGCAAUCUACGAUAUUUGCAGACGUAACCUCGACAUCGAGCGUCCCACCUACACCAACCUGAACCGUCUCAUUGGCCAGAUCGUCUCCUCCAUCACCGCUUCUCUGCGAUACGAUGGUGCCCUCAACGUCGAUCUGACUGAGUUCCAAACCAACUUGGUGCCCUACCCACGUAUCCAUUUCCCUAUGGUUACCUAUGCUCCAGUCAUCUCUGCUGAGAAGGCCUACCAUGAGCAGUUGACCGUUGCCGAGAUCACCAACUCCUGCUUCGAGCCCGCCAACCAGAUGGUGAAGUGCGAUCCCCGUCACGGCAAGUACAUGGCAUGCUGUCUCCUCUACCGAGGUGAUGUCGUCCCCAAGGAUGUCAACGCCGCCAUCGCUACCAUCAAGACCAAGCGUACCAUCCAGUUCGUCGACUGGUGUCCAACUGGCUUCAAGGUUGGUAUCAACUACCAGCCACCCACCAUCGUCCCUGGUGGUGAUCUUGCUAAGGUUCAGCGUGCCGUCUGCAUGUUGAGCAACACCACAGCCAUCGCCGAGGCCUGGGCUCGUCUCGACCACAAGUUCGAUCUGAUGUACGCCAAGCGUGCUUUCGUCCAUUGGUACGUCGGAGAGGGUAUGGAGGAAGGAGAAUUCGCCGAAGCUCGUGAGGAUUUGGCUGCUCUCGAGAAGGACUACGAAGAAGUUGGUACCGAUUCUGCCGAAGCAGAGGAGGCAGAGGAAGAAGAUGAAUAUUAGAUUAAAACAUGAUUAUUUUUGUUGUUGAUUUCUUUAUUUUUAUUAAUCACAAAAUUUAAGUAGAAAAAAAAUCCCCGCUAAUGAAACAUCGAAACAAACUAAUACGACAGACAUCGUUUGGUGAAUAGAUUGAACGAAAAUAUGAAUUGGAUAUUCGCUUUACCUAUUCUUUUACGCAUGAUUCACUGAAGUUAAUUAUAAUAAUCAUGGGUAGGCCAUAUUAUGUCAAUAUAAUAGUAGCAUUUCGAAAAACCAAAGUAAUUAUCGAAUAUUAGAGAGAUAUCUCAUAAAGUUUGCGAUGAUUGGGUGUUUUGUUGCAGAGAUCCGAUUUUAUAAGCUACGAGCACGGUACAAGUACAGGUGUAGCUAGGAUUGUCUUGAUUAAAUAUUCUUAAAUAAAACCGUAACAUACAUCUUCUGCGUUACUUCAUAUCUUUAGUAUCAACAUUGUCAAAUAAACAUGGAAGUUUAUCAUCAUGCCUCUCAA